GAAGACAACAACGAUGGUGGCUACUUGAAGGCCCCUUUACUGCAGCUGUCUGUGGGCUGCAGUUCCCGCUUAAAAAGGAGACGAAGACAUGCAGCAGCUUUGGCUUCCGGUCCGAGAAAACAUGGUGCUUGGUAGGAAACCCCGGAGAGAGGAGCUCUGUUGCGUAGCUGCUGAAGCAUCCGUACCUCCGGCUGAAGCCACGUUAUCUCCUGAUCCAAGUACAGAUGAGGAAAGUAAAAGGAUUGACGUUGUUUGGUGCCAACAACACGCAUUGUCUACAGUCCGAACGGCAACCGUAAGAGGAUCCUAACAGACCUGCCAACCUCUCAGCCUACGAGCAGCAGAAUCCUCUGAGCAGCUGAUAAUUUGGCCAGAACUGUACAGCAGCAGCAGAAGAAGAGGCUGGAUGUCACAGAGUGUACAUAGACCAAUCGCAUCCUGUUUCUGCUCACAUGCUCGCCCUCAGCUGCACUUCACUCCACCCACUACCUUCUCCGUGUCAGAGAAGGAAGUCAAUAGACUGUUUCAGUGGCAGGAACCCUGUAAAGCAGCUGAGCCGGACUAUGUCUCCCCAUCCGCCCUGAAGCGCUGUGCUGAUCGGCUGUCUCCGGUUUUCGCAGACAUUUUUAACACCUCACU